GAAAUGCGAUAAGUAAUGUGAAUUGUAGAAUUCAGUGAAUCAUCGAAUCUUUGAACGCACAUUGCGCCCCCUGGUAUUCCGGGGGGCAUGCCUGUUCGAGCGUCAUUUCACCACUCAAGCCUCGCUUGGUAUUGGGCAACGCGGUCCGCCGCGUGCCUCAAAUCGACCGGCUGGGUCUUCUGUCCCCUAAGCGUUGUGGAAACUAUUCGCUAAAGGGUGUUCGGGAGGCUACGCCGUAAAACAACCCCAUUUCUAAGGUUGACCUCGGAUCAGGUAGGGAUACCCGCUGAACUUAAGC
rnacentral:misc_RNA from 1 species